ACUGUCCUGUGCUUUAUAAGCUGUUUAGCAGCAUCCCUGGCGUCUACUCACGAGAUGCAAAUAUAACAUCUUCCCCA